GUGUUGGCUUCAGCAGCGCAAAUACUAAAACUGGAAAGAUACAGGGAAGAUUAGCAUGGCCCCCUUCAUAAGGAUGGUACACAAAUGCAUGAAGCACACUAUAUUUUU